rnacentral:rRNA from 1 species
UGGGGAAUAUUGCACAAUGGGCGCAAGCCUGAUGCAGCCAUGCCGCGUGUGUGAAGAAGGCCUUCGGGUUGUAAAGCACUUUCAGCGGGGAGGAAGGCGUUAAGGUUAAUAACCUUGGCGAUUGACGUUACCCGCAGAAGAAGCACCGGCUAACUCCGUGCCAGCAGCCGCGGUAAUACGGAGGGUGCAAGCGUUAAUCGGAAUUACUGGGCGUAAAGCGCACGCAGGCGGUCUGUCAAGUCGGAUGUGAAAUCCCCGGGCUCAACCUGGGAACUGCAUUCGAAACUGGCAGGCUAGAGUCUUGUAGAGGGGGGUAGAAUUCCAGGUGUAGCGGUGAAAUGCGUAGAGAUCUGGAGGAAUACCGGUGGCGAAGGCUGCCCCCUGGACAAAGACUGACGCUCAGGUGCGAAAGCGUGGGGAGCAAACAGG